UACGGAGGGUGCGAGCGUUGUCCGGAAUCACUGGGCGUAAAGGGCGCGUAGGCGGCCUGAUAAGUAGGGGGUGAAAUCCUGCGGCUUAACCGCAGGGCUGCCUUCUAAACUGUCAGGCUAGAGCACAGUAGAGGCAGGUGGAAUUCCCGGUGUAGCGGUGGAAUGCGUAGAGAUCGGGAAGAACACCGAUGGCGAAGGCAGCCAUCUGGACCGACACUGACGCUGAGGCGCGAAAGCGUGGGGAGCAAACAGG
rnacentral:rRNA from 1 species